rnacentral:rRNA from 1 species
AGACCUCUAAUCGGAAAAGACCACGUGCCGAAUUU